AACAAGCGCGCAAGGGAUAGUAAAGGAAAGCCCACAGCCCGACGCAGGAGGUGCGAGGACUUGUAUUGGAUAGCCCGACCCUUU
rnacentral:misc_RNA from 1 species